rnacentral:rRNA from 1 species
GCUGCGGUCACGGCUAAGUGGAUCGCGGCGCGCGCUGCCCCCCACCAUUCCAUGUCUGCCGUGGACUCGUGGCAGUUCAGUGCUAAGCUCGCCCGACAAUUUAUGAAGGGUUGGGGCUCUAACCUUGGUCGGGACCUCCGCGAGCGCAAGAAAACCCUACUCACCGCCAUCCAAGCCCUGGAUACCCGUGCUGACACCACCAGAAUCUCCCCGGAUGAGUGGAUGCAGAGAUACGAUCUUGAGGAUCAGCUCUCGACCAUCUACACGGAUGAGGAGGCGUACUGGAGGCUCCGUGGCAACCAACGGUGGGUGCUUCGUGGCGUCGCCAAUACUGCCUACUUCCAGGCGAUCGCCAAUGGGCGGCAGCGUCGCAACUCCAUCCACUGCCUAUGGGAUGGAGAUACCCAGCUUGUCCGACCUCCGGAUAUCCAUGCCCACGUAGACAGCUUUUACAAAGCCCUGUUCUCCCCCACCCCUCGGGGUGGGGCCACGCUGGCUCCCAACACCUGGUCGGGCCCCCAGCUAGUUUCCGAUACGGAUAAUGCCGCUUUGGCUCUGGCUAUUGCGGACCGAUUGAACUGCCUCUUGGGUACCUUCCCCAUGACCUACUUGGGGAUACCCAUUAGUGACUCUAGGCUCACCGUGGCUGACCUCCGCCCGACUGUGACCCGGAUGCAGCACCGGGUCGAGCCCUAG